rnacentral:lncRNA from 1 species
CGGGCUGACAGUCGUUGGGAACGUACUUGGAGCACUGUUUGUGUACGUUCAACCCACAGUCUGAACACCUCACUCCCUGAGCGAUGAGACCCCACAUGAAGUUGGCACAGUAUUCACACCAGUGUGGACCUCGAAACGUGUGGACCUUAAAAUUGUGUGCUUUUUCAUAGUUGAAAUGGUUGUCGUUUUGAGUUAAGGCUGCUCUUCGGACCAAGGAGGUGAUCUGCGAAUAGGCAAAGAGUUUCAGAGGUUGCCACAGGAGUGCCCCCUUCACUCCCACCUUCACCCCCAGGGCCACGGCCAGGAGCUCUUGGCGCUUCCUUCCCCGCUUCGACUUGUGGACGACGGCACAGCUUUUCUCAUUCUCCAGCCACAGAUCCUCCGAGAACAUCGCGCUCGGGUCCCAGAUCUUUUCCCUGUCUUCCCCGGCACCC